GACGUAGGGUGCGAGCGUUGUCCGGAUUUAUUGGGCGUAAAGAGCUCGUAGGCGGCUCGUCGCGUCGGCUGUGAAAACCCGCGGCUUAACUGUGGGCUUGCAGCUGAUACGGGCGGGCUAGAGUUCGGUAGGGGAGACUGGAAUUCCUGGUGUAGCGGUGAAAUGACGCAGAUAUCAGGAGGAACACCGGUGGCGAAAGGCGGGGUCUCUGGGGCCCGAUACUGACGUGAGGAGCGAAAAGCGUGGGGAGCGAACAGG
rnacentral:rRNA from 1 species